rnacentral:SRP_RNA from 1 species
GCUGGGCGUGGUGGUGCACGCCUGUAAUCCCAGCUACUCGGGAGGCUGAGACAUGAGAAUCGCUUGAACCCAGGAGGUGGAGGUUGCAGUGAGCCAAGACUGCACCCAUUGUACUCCAGCCUGGGUGACAGAGUGAGACUCUGUCUCCA